ACCUAGUGGCGAACGGGUGAGUAACACGUGAGCAACCUGCCCUGGAAUCGGGGAUAACUCGAGGAAACUCGAGCUAAUACCGGAUACCUUCCCUUGGCCGCAUGACCGAGGGAAGAAAGAAUUUCGUUCCAGGAGGGGCUCGCGGCCUAUCAGUUUGUUGGCGGGGUAACGGCCCACCAAGACUACGACGGGUAGCUGGUUUGAGAGAACGAUCAGCCACACUGGGACUGAGACACGGCCCAG
rnacentral:rRNA from 1 species